rnacentral:rRNA from 1 species
AUUGAACGCUGGCGGCAGGCUUAACACAUGCAAGUCGAGCGGGGUGAUGGUGCUUGCACUAUCACUUAGCGGCGGACGGGUGAGUAAUGCUUAGGAAUCUGCCUAUUAGUAGGGGACAACAUCUCGAAAGGGAUGCUAAUACCGCAUACGUCCUACGGGAGAAAGCAGGGGAUCACUUGUGACCUUGCGCUAAUAGAUGAGCCUAAGUCGGAUUAGCUAGUUGGUGGGGUAAAGGCCUACCAAGGCGACGAUCUGUAGCGGGUCUGAGAGGAUGAUACGCCACACUGGGACUGAGACACGGCCCAGACUCCUACGGGAGGCAGCAGUGGGGAAUAUUGGACAAUGGGGGGAACCCUGAUCCAGCCAUGCCGCGUGUGUGAAGAAGGCCUUAUGGUUGUAAAGCACUUUAAGCGAGGAGGAGGCUCUUUUGGUUAAUACCCAAGAUGAGUGGACGUUACUCGCGGAAUAAGCACCGGCUAACUCUGUGCCAGCCGCCGCGGUAA